CCUACGGGUGGCUGCAGUGAGGAAUAUUGCUCAAUGGGCGCGAGCCUGAACCAGCCAAGCAGCGUGAAGGAUGACUGCCCUCCGGGUUGUAAACUCCUUUUAUAAAGGAAUAAAGUGAGGCACGUGUUCCUCUUUGUAUGUACUUUAUGAACAAGGAUAGGCUAACGCCGUGCCAGCAGCAGCGGUAAUACGGAGGGUCCGAGCGUUAUCCGGAUUUAUUGGGUUUAAAGUGAGCGUAGAUGGGUUGUUAAGUCAGGUGUGAAAGUUUGGGGCUCAACCGUAGAAUUGCAAUUGAUACUGGCAGCCUUGAGUACGGGUGAGGUAGGCGGAAUUUGUGGUGUAGCAGUGAAAUGCUUAGAUAUCACGAGGAACACCGGUUGCGAAGGCGGCCUACUGAACUGCCACUGACGUUGAGGCGCGAAAGUGUGGGUAGCAAACAGGAUUAGAUACCCUUGUAGUC
rnacentral:rRNA from 1 species